rnacentral:rRNA from 1 species
GCCAGCCAUCCCACCCUGAACCAGUCAGAUCCUGUCUGAUCUUGGAAGCUAAGCAAGGUUGGGCCUGGUUAGUACUUGGAUGGGAGACCACCUAGGAAGACCAGGUGCUGUAGGCA